UCUAGCCAUGCCGCGUGAGUGAUGAAGGCCCUAGGGUCGUAAAGCUCUUUCGCCAGGGAUGAUAAUGACAGUACCUGGUAAAGAAACCCCGGCUAACUCCGUGCCAGCAGCCGCGGUAAUACGGAGGGGGUUAGCGUUGUUCGGAAUUACUGGGCGUAAAGCGCGCGUAGGCGGAUCAGAAAGUUGGGGGUGAAAUCCCGGGGCUCAACCCCGGAACUGCCUCCAAAACUCCUGGUCUUGAGUUCGAGAGAGGUGAGUGGAAUUCCGAGUGUAGAGGUGAAAUUCGUAGAUAUUCGGAGGAACACCAGUGGCGAAGGCGGCUCACUGGCUCGAUACUGACGCUGAGGUGCGAAAGUGUGGGGAGCAAACAGGAUUAGAUACCCUGGUAGUCCACACCGUAAACGAUGAAUGCCAGUCGUCGGGUAGCAUGCUAUUCGGUGACACACCUAACGGAUUAAGCAUUCCGCCUGGGGAGUACGGUCGCAAGAUUAAAACUCAAA
rnacentral:rRNA from 1 species